UUAAGUGAACAAGGGCAUACGGCGGAUGCCUUGGCGCCAAGAGCCGAUGAAGGACGCGGUAAGCUGCGAAAAGGCAUGGGUAGGAGCAAGCAUCCUGUGAUCCAUGCAUAUCCGAAUGGGGCAACCCACCAUCAGUCAUGUGAUGGUACGAAAGAGGCAGACCUGGGGAACUGAAACAUCUAAGUACCCAGAGGAAAAGUAAUCAAUUGAGAUUCCCUAAGUAGCGGCGAGCGAAAGGGGAAGAGCCCAAACCAGAUAACUUCGGUUGUCUGGGGUUGAGGACCGGCAAAAAGAGGAAACUUCUUAGUCGAAUGGUUUGGAAAGGCCAUGCACAGAAGGUAAAACACCUGUAGGCGAAAAGAAGUCAAUCGGGCUGGUAUCCAGAGUACUGCGAGACACGUGAAACCUUGCAGGAAGCAGGGGGGACCACCCUCCAAGGCAAAAUACUACUUGGCGACCGAUAGCGCAUAGUACCGUGAGGGAAAGGUGAAAAGAACCCCGGGAGGGGAGUGAAAUAGAACCUGAAACCGUAUGUCUACAAGCAGUCGAAGCACCUUAAGAGUGCGACGGCGUGCCUAUUGAAGAAUGAACCGGCGAGUUACAUUAUGUUGCGAGGUUAAGUGGGAGACACGGAGCCGAAGCGAAAGCGAGUCUUAAUAGGGCGACUAGUAACAUGGUGUAGACCCGAAACCGCAGUGAUCUAUCCAUGGUCAGGUUGAAGCGCAGGUAAAAAUGCGUGGAGGACCGAACCCGUGAGUGUUGAAAAACUUUGGGAUGAACCGUGGAUAGGGGUGAAAUGCCAAUCGAACGCGGAGAUAGCUGGUACUCCCCGAAAUAGCUUUAGGGCUAGCCUCAGGGAAGAUUAUAGACGGUAGAGCACUGAUCUGGCAAGGGGGCGUAAAGCCUACCGACCCUAGUCAAACUUCGAAUGGCUAUAAUUAAGACCCUGGGAGUCAGACUGCGAGUGAUAAGACCCGUAGUCAAGAGGGAAACAGCCCAGACCGCCGACUAAGGUCCCCAAUGCUGUACUAAGUGGAAAAGGAUGUAAGACUUCAUAAACAACCAGGAUGUUGGCUUAGAAGCAGCCACCAUUAAAAGAGUGCGUAAUAGCUCACUGGUCGAGAGGCCUUGCGCCGAAGAUGUCCGGGGCUCAAGUACAGAACCGAAGUCGCGGCAGGAUUAUAUAAUUCUGGGUAGGGGAGCGUUGUAUAUCCGACUGAAGGUGUACCGGAAGGAGCGCUGGAGGAUAUACAAGAGAGAAUGCCGGUAUGAGUAGCGAAAAGAACAGUGAGAAUCUGUUCCACCGAAAGCCUAAGGUUUCCUGAGCAACGCUCGUCGACUCAGGGUAAGUCGGGACCUAAGCCGAGGCAAAAAGCAUAGGCGAUGGACAACAGGUUAAUAUUCCUGUACCGCUUCAAAUCGUUUGAGCAAUGGAGUGACACAGAAGGUAGCUUGAGCACGCGAAUGGAUGUGCGUGUCGAAGGUGGUAGGUUGCAGUAUAGGCAAAUCCGUACUGUAUAAGACCGAGAACUGAUAGAUAGACGAUACUUUGGUAAAGUCAAAUUCAAGUGAGCCAUGCUGUCGAGAAAAGCUUCUAGUGAGAGAUGAGGCGCCCGUACCGAAACCGACACAGGUAGGCGGGGAGAGAAUCCUAAGGUGCGCGGGACAACCCUCGUUAAGGAACUCGGCAAAUUGUAUCCGUAACUUAGGGAUAAGGAUAGCCGGAGGAUGUGAAGGGAUUUACUUCUGGAGCGUCAGCCGGUGGCACAAGAGAGGCCCAAGCGACUGUUUAGCACAAACACAGGUGCCUGCAAAAGAGAAAUCUGACGUAUAGGUGCUGACACCUGCCCGGUGCUGGAAGGUUAAGAGGAGGGCUUAGAGGCAACUCGAAGGCUUGAAUUGAAGCCCCAGUAAACGGCGGCCGUAACUAUAACGGUCCUAAGGUAGCGAAAUUCCUUGUCGGGUAAGUUC
rnacentral:rRNA from 1 species